rnacentral:rRNA from 1 species
GACGAACGCUGGCGGCGUGCUUAACACAUGCAAGUCGAGCGGUAAGGCCCUUUCGGGGUACGACGAGCGGCGAACGGGUGAGUAACACGUGGGUGACCUGCCCUCCAGCUCUGGGAGUAAGCCUGGGAAACGUAGGGUCGUAAUACUGGAUAUGACUCCACGGUGCAUGUCGUGGGGUGGAAAGCCUUGUGCGGCUGAGGAUGGGCCCGCGGCCUAUCAGCUUGUUGGUGGGGUGAGGCCUACCAAGGCGACGACGGGUAGCCGGCCUGAGAGGGCGACCGGCCACACUGGGACUGAGACA